AAGCUCCAGCGGUUGGGAACUCUCCAUUACCAAAGGGCAGGAGGGGCAGCCCCGGUUCAAAGUAUUUCUUGUUCACAGACAGCAGCCGCAGCGGGCGAGUGAGGUUACACAGAGAGCCAGCAAGAUGAAGCUGCUGUGUGCGAUCUUUCCUGAGUUUAGCUGCAAGGAUCUGGCAGAGCAAAUUGCUUUCUUCCAAAAUCCAGUGGAGGAGGAGGAGUGAAGGGGUUUUCUUGCAAUGGAAACCACCACUUGCCUUUCCUUCUUUCUGUGCUCCUGGCCCCUGGAGAUCUGGCAGAGCAAUGGCCUGGGCCUGGGCCAGCAGAGCAGUCAUGCCUGGCUUCCUCCCCUGUGCCUGUGAAGGAAGAAGGCUCUGUAAGCAGAAAAGGAUUUGUGUGUGACCUCGACCUCAUCUUAGAGCUGCAGUGGUCUACCUGUUUGCCCUGAGGAUGUGCGAAUAACACCGGAACCGGGGAAGGACGCUCCAGGAAGAGCAGCGGUCCUCAGUGGUCCCUGUGACAAUUCAUACAGAGCCUUGGCCAGCUUUAGUAAUGACGUUUUGCAGUAGCAGUAUAUAGAUGCAAAUGUAUACAUGCCCUCCUAGUGUAUCCAUAGUGCCAAACACUUUGCCACCAGCAUCUUUGCUGGCAGUCUUGGAUGCGGGCUGGAUGUUGCCAACACACAACUGUAACCAGGUUUGCAGGAGUCAACGUGUUGUGGUCUGGUGCUGGAAUGUGAAUAGCCUGGCAUGUUACAUAUUUGGCAUGCGUCAUGUAGGACAGCUUCUCUCUAGAACUCUCGUUGGAGUGGAUAAGCAGGUCAUCCUGACUGUGCUGGAGCAAGCUCCAAUUGAAGCUAUCUGUUUUUGGCUCUCUGAAUGCAUGAAGGUUUUCAUAGCGUGCGGACUAAUGCAACUAUGGUUCCCUACAACCAGAAUGUCCUACUGCGCUAACCCUCGACUUGAUUUCUCUUCCUCAGAAUUGGAUUGAUCUUUCAUGCUACUUCCCCUUCCUGUAAACAAAGAUGAUCCAGUCACUUGAGAAAACUAGAAGAGUAGAAGCUACUACACGCAGGAGAGAAAUACAAAUUCAGUGCUGCUAUCUGGAAUACUGUAACCAUCCUCAUUUCUAGCAAUGCGUAUGUCUAUCAACACUAGCCAAUCCUACUUUUGCAGAAGCAUUCUCUGAAGCCCUCCAGGACAACGUUAUUCUACUUUACACCUACUGU